GACGAGCCUCACAAACGUUAUUCGGAAUCACUGGGCUUAAAGGGUGCGUAGGCGGUGUGGCUAGUCGGGUGUGAAAUCCCUCAGCUUAACUGAGGAACUGCACUCGAUACUUCCAUGCUAGAGUAAGACAGAGGUGAGUGGAACUGAGGGUGGAGCGGUGAAAUGCGUUGAUAUCCUCAGGAACACCGGUGGCGAAGGCGACUCACUGGGUCUUUACUGACGCUGAUGCACGAAAGCUAGGGUAGCAAACGGG
rnacentral:rRNA from 1 species